rnacentral:lncRNA from 8 species
AGACAAUUCAGUGCACUCUUGGAUAGUAACACUAGUAGAAAUUAUAUAGUAUAAUAUACAAGGUAGAAAAUGUUAUCUUAUUAUACUGUUUUAGAAUUAUUAUUUUUUUAAUCCAUUUUAGAAUAAGUCUGUAGCAUAACAAAAUGUGGAAAAGGUCAAGGGGCCUGAAUACUUUCCGAAUGCACUGUAUGUGUCUAUAUAUGUCAUUCAUGUUACAUGAACCAGUCCAAUACAUCUAAAACACUUGAAAAUCAUCUCAUUAUUGUUUGAGGAUUUGAUCAGAUACGUUUUGUUUCAGGUGUUCAGGGUCAGAGCUGUUUGAAUGUGACUUACACCAAGAGGAGUAUAUGUGCCUUGAAGGGGUCAACAGUGGACAUUACCUGCACGUAUAGACAUCCCAGCUGGCAUAACGUCACAGAAGUAUCCUGGUUCAACAAAUGGGAGUCUGGAGUUACUACAGAUCUAAGCCAGGACCCAGAGUAUGCAGGUCGUGUGAAGUACCUUCCAACUACAGAAAAGGACUCCACCCUGAGAAUCACAGACCUGAGAGAGAGUGACUCUGCUGAAUACAAGUUUAGAUUUACAACAACUGCGGUAAAAUGGGGAUACAGCUUCCCUGGAAUAACUCUUAAUGUCACAGGUAAUACUGUCCUUACAGUAUUAUAUCAUCUAGUCUAAGUCAUUAUAUUAUUGGUGGAAAUAAUGAUGAUUGUGCUAUUUUGUCUUCAUUUACUCCUUUUCAGACUUGCAGGUGAAGGAGUCUCCUGGCACAGAGGAAGGGAAGGUGACACUGACCUGUAGCACCACCUGUACUCUAACUGACAACCCCACCUACAUCUGGUACAAGAACGGACAACUUCUUACCAACCCAAACACACAAGAUAACUUCCUCUACCUAGACCAAAUCAGCAGUGAGGACGCAGGAAGCUACUCCUGUAGUGUUAAAGGCUACCGUUCUCCUGUUACGUUUGUUGGGGAACCAAAGUCUUUGAAGAAUGCAGUUGUAGGAAUCAUAGUGGUUAUUCUGAUUCUCAUACUCUGUCUGUUUGGGUUCAUGUGGUUCAGGAAGAAGACCUCCAAAUCCACCACUGACACAAGAGACAGAAGAGACACAGCAGAGAAUGGACAGAGAGACUCUAAUCCAGUGUAUGACAACAUCUCAGGCAUGGCCAUGACCCCUACUGCAGCACAGAGAGCGAUCACAGACGAGCAGGAUGACGUUACCUACGCCAGCAUCCAACACAGAAACCAGGAAGUGCCUCCGGACUCCACCUUCCCACUAUCUCACCCCCAGAAACAGGACGAGGAUUUCCAGUACGCUACUGUGAAAUUCAACAGCCCCAGUGCUGCUCAAUAGACAUUGGAUUCAAUCCAAUCAUAGGUUAUAGGCAUUGUUGCUUUCAAUGUAGUUCUUCUUUUUUGAAAAAAUGCUUUUGGAAAAUGCUAUAUAAUUCCUCAAUUAGAAUGUCUUUAAUUUUGGCUUGAAUUAUCCCUUUAAAUUAAAGUAUAGGCCAAACUGUUCAGUACAUAUUCUACUGUUCUAUUAUGGUCAGAGGGGAUAAAAACGGUUCAUUUUUUACAGUAACUUCUUUGUUGUCAUAUCUCAAACGGACAGUUUCAGCAUUAAGGAUGCCAGCUUUAAAUAACACAAUAUAACCAACUUUAUUCAUGAGGUCUUAUAGUAAAUGUACUAUAAAUCACAGUAAUUUAAACAUCCCAUCCAUGCACCACACUAAACCUACACAUGUCUGUGUCUGAAAUGUCAUCCUAUUCACUACAUACUGCCAGGUCACAUUUCAGACACAGAUAUCCUCUUUAACUGUUAAGGGCCAAACAAAUGAUACCAGUGAAACAGGUUGAAGGUUGUAGCUGCUAUGACACCUUGUUUAAUGACGUGAGGUACUCAAUAAAUGACUAAAUACAACUAAACACAUGUUCUUUACAUCAGGGGUGGAGCAUGGAAAUGACAGAGACGCUGCAAUAAAAGCUUCUGUUUAUGUUUUGUAUCUUGGCAACAAUAUAUAGCAGCCAUAAAUCAUUAACCAAUGGAGCGCUCUACACAAACAAAAC